UACGUAGGGUGCAAGCGUUGUCCGGAAUUAUUGGGCGUAAAGAGCUCGUAGGCGGUUUGUCACGUCGGAUGUGAAACCCCGAGGCUUAACCUCGGGCCUGCAUUCGAUACGGGCUGACUAGAGUUCGGUAGGGGAGACUGGAAUUCCUGGUGUAGCGGUGAAAUGACGCAGAUAUCAGGAGGAACACCGGUGGCGAAGGCGGGUCUCUGGGCCGAUACUGACGCUGAGGAGCGAAAGCCAGGGGAGCGAACGGG
rnacentral:rRNA from 1 species